rnacentral:rRNA from 1 species
GACGAACGCUGGCGGCGUGCUUAACACAUGCAAGUCGAACGGAAAGGCCCUGCUUUUGUGGGGUGCUCGAGUGGCGAACGGGUGAGUAACACGUGAGUAACCUGCCCUUGACUUUGGGAUAACUACAGGAAACUGGGGCUAAUACCGGAUAGGAGCUCCUGCUGCAUGGUGGGGGUUGGAAAGUUUCGGCGGUUGGGGAUGGACUCGCGGCUUAUCAGCUUGUUGGUGGGGUAGUGGCUUACCAAGGCUUUGACGGGUAGCCGGCCUGAGAGGGUGACCGGCCACAUUGGGACUGAGGUACGGCCCAGACUCCUACGGGAGGCAGCAGUGGGGAAUAUUGCACAAUGGGCGGAAGCCUGAUGCAGCAACGCCGCGUGCGGGAUGACGGCCUUCGGGUUGUAAACCGCUUUCGCCUGUGACGAAGCGUGAGUGACGGUAAUGGGUAAAGAAGCACCGGCUAACUACGUG